ACUUGAAUAGCUUAUAUUGAGAGCAUAGUACUGAAGAUACUAAGGAGAUUAUCUUAAUCUUUAAGUA
rnacentral:tRNA from 1 species